GGAAGACUCUGUGAAGCUGUGUGGGCAGCUGGGGCCAGGCUGCUGGGCUUCCUGGGUCCCAGGGGGUGGGGAGCUGUGGGCUGUGCUGGGCUCUGUGGUUCCCGCACCCUGCCACUGGCAGCCUGCUGCAGUUCCUUUCAGAAUUAUUUUUCUUUCCAGACUUAAACAAGGUCCACCCAGUGUCUGAGACAUGGUUUGCUGCUCCUAUGAAGGCUCCUGGCCAAGGCAGCUCCCAGAUAGGGUGGCUGCCUGCGUCUCCUCUUAGCAGAGGCCCUUGCCAUUUGGCUGGUGUGUGGGGUGCCCAUGCAUGUGACUGCGGGGGCGGGGCUCAGCCAUCGCUCUUCCCACAGCCAGGAUCCAGGCCCCGAGAUCUAACCCAGGCUGCUGCCAAAGGUCAGUGGGCUUCAUGCUUUGUCCAACUCACGGCUGGCAGGAAGCCGCCCGCCCAGGCCAGCCUCUCUCUGGCCUCUGCUCCUGCAGUCUCCAAAGGGCUUCUAGUGACCCCAAAUCACCAAGAGCCAGGAAGCCUCUGUGGGAAAGACUGUCUGUUCCACCUUCUUCCUGCUACAUUCUGCUUUGCUCUGGACCUACAGAAGUUCCCUCAACUCCUGGUGCCCACAGGAAUGAUACCUGCAGGUGGCUGCCUUGCAGAGCUCACAGAGAGGAAGAGAUUCAUUCUGGCUAGAACUGAAUAGACACCCGGGAUAUCAAGCCACGCUCUUCACAGUGGACCAGAACACCUCCUACCUUUUGAUUAAGGCACCAGGAUGUUAAAAUGGCACUGCAGAGCUGAGAGCUUUGUCUUCAAACAAACAAAGAAACAAACAAACAGAACCGAGUCUUGCUUUCCCAUAGGAAGAGUUUUUUUCUUUCUUCUAGACAGGGUAAAUUGCAACAGACUCCAGGCUCUUGUCUGGAUUCUGCCUCUGUGAGCAACCAUACUAGGGCCUAGUGAGCUCCUCUCGGGACCGGCUCCUCACUGAGCUGUGGCUGUUGAGGCCGAAGGGUGUGUCAAGACGAGGCAGGUGCUCUGCAGGGGAGCCCCAGGUAAAGGCCUAGGUGACCGGUGAGGCAGAAGGGCAAAGCACCUGGGAGCAGAGCACUGUCUGCGUGUCUGUCCAGGGCACUCCAUCUGACUUCCAAGACUAUCUGGCUGUUACAGUCAGCUCCUCCUACAGGCGGUGAAUUUUCUACUGUUUGAUGUUCCAGCCUAGUCCACUCUGUGCCAAGCAAAAGCACAGACAUCCUUUGUCAAGGCGCACGCUCCAGAUGUAGGUUGAAAAGAUUUGGGCCCUCAACUCUCAGUGUGAGGGGUGGGCUGGGGGACAGGACGGGGAGCACUAGCUUAGGCACUCUAUGUGGCCUCCCUGACUCUUCUCCCCAGCAGUUCGAGGGUGGGGAUCUCUCCUCAGUCCUAGGAGUUGACUUGUCCAAAGCUACAAACAGGAAAGCUGGAAAAGGUGGCCUCUCUGCCUAAGAAGUCACAUCAAAUGGGAGGGUGCCAGGAUUGAGGCCCCUGCACCACGAGCCAGUGCUUAAGGUGGGGUCCCAAGGCCAGGAGUGCUCCCUGACCUCAAGGACAUCUAGAGGACUACGUCCUCACUGCAUGAAUGCUCAGCUGCCAUCUCGAGAAUGAGGCAGCUGCGUUCAAAUCCCCGUGCUAUUGAUUCUCAGCUGGGUGGCCUCAGGCCAGUUACGGAACUUCUCCGAGCCUCAGCUUCCUCUUCUGUAAGAUAACCCCCAGCUCCCUGAGUCUGUGCAAGGGGUCACUGAGCCUGGUGUAAAAGAUGUGCACAGGUGGGCUGGCCACAUGCAAGGAUGAGUGCUGGGUGUUAGCAGAGGUCUCCUGCGUGGUCUCUGACUUCCUGACAUCUCUAUGGACACCAAGAGCAGCCAGGGACAAGAGACAGCUGGGGAGCAGUGGCAGGCAGAGUUUGCCCUAGGUGUGGUGGAGGGAGGAUUUCCUGGCCUGGCCCAAGCGGCCGUCAGUUUCUAAAGGAGAAACCGGCCAUGUGAGGUUGAGGUGGGGCUCAGAUGGGCACCAGAGCUCCCUCCCCUGAUGUUGGGAGGAGGGUUAUGCAUGGGGAGGAUUCUGAGGCCCCAGAGACACUGCUGUUUUCCAGCCAACCUGCUGUGUUCUACACAGUUGUAUUUGUAACUCUGGUUUCUUGUGAAAGUCCCUCUUGACUGUGCUCUGCCUGGUAUAGCCAGGUGGGCUGUGCCAAUGGGAGACUUCAUCCUGGAGGGUGCCACGUGGUCUCUUAGCCUGACACAGGGAGCCCUAAAACAACACAUUUUUCUGAGUCUAACAGGGCCAACAUUCAAUGGUGACUACAGGAGGACCCAGGCCUGUACUCCGGGCCUUACAUAGCAAUUUUACCUGUGAACUUCACUGGCUUGAGAACUGCCUAGGGAAUUGUUUCCAAGUUCCCAUGGAAGGUACUAGAAGCGUGUCUGGAUUCCCAGUGUCCAGCGGAACCUGGUUCUCAGUGAUGCUGGCCCCAUGGAACUGGACGACCUUGGUCCCGACCUGCUCCAUCUUCAGGAGGCUCCUACUUGUCUACGGACUUGCAAACCCUGGCAAGCCCAUUUGUGGUUUGCUAAUGGGCUCACCUCUCUCCUGCAAGGUCCACAUGUUCUGGCCUAAAGAGAGUCUGUGACCCACGCUCUCCUCCUGAUUCUCCACUCACAGGUGUGGCUAUGGUGAGGGCAAACACCAAAAGAUAGUGUUUGCUCUUGAGAAGGGACGCAUUCCGACCAAGUUGGCUAGUAAGUGAUUUUCUGCAAAGUAGAAUAAUUGGUUGAAUGUUCCCAUGGCAACAGAGCCUUUCCUGGAAACCACUGGAGGGAGAGGAAGGCUGUGGUUCUGCCUGGUACUGCAGGGCCCUGGGUAGGGCCAGCAGAGAUGGUGAUGCUGCUCGGCAUCCGGCUUCCUCUGUGCACAGCCUCGCCUGGCCCUCCGGCUGCUCUCUGCCUGCCUCCCUGGGCCUUAGGCACAUUUCCAUGCCACUGCCCUGCAAGAGCACUUGAGCAGGUGCUCACCGUUCCCAGAAUUGUCCCAUUUCCUCAUGUUUAAGUGUGGGUUUUAAGAAUGGCACUAUCUAGGCAGGGCAUGCAUGAAUGAUUCACCCAGCGCUUUUGUAGGCACUGCUGUGGGGUUCUCAAAAAUGGCCUUGGAAGGCUAUGCUAUUCACAACCCACUUCCCAGAUGGCCAUGAGGCUGGCACUGAGGACGUGACUGGGAGCACAAAGAGGCCAGAGGUGUGGCCAGCUGCCGGGCAGGGUCGGCCCAAACACUCUUCAGCACGGGCGUUCUCUUCACCCUGUUGGGAGGCAGAGAUGGGAGGGGACCUUCCCUUACCCACCCUUCCCUGCGCCUGGAAUCCCAGAAACAGCAACCUCCUGGCUGUGGAGGGCAGGUAGAGUGGGCGUGCUGCUGCCUCUUCCUGUGGGAUUCCUUGCACCGGCCUCCCUCUCUGGGUGCCUGGAAUCAAGGUGGAAGGAUAGAGAAGGACAGUGCCCCUGCAUCUCAUAGCUGGUCUUGGAGCAGGAAAAGCACCAGAAUCUACUGGGCGAGAGGCUCCACUGUGUGAGCAUGUUGAUGUAGCUGAGUGUGCAUGUCAGUGCGGGACAGAGCCUGUGUUUAUGUAUAAAUACAGGAGUGUGCGGGGGUGUGGGAAAAUGUGUUUGUGUGUGUAAAUGUUUGUGUGCAUGUGCACUGCAUUAUGAGAGUGUGUGCACACGUGUGUGAAGGCAUGCAUGCAGACCUGUGUCAGCAUAAAAGAGUGUGGGGUAUGUGUUUACGUGUGAAUGCAUGUGUGUGUGUGAAAAUACACACGUGUG